rfam:Ictidomys tridecemlineatus contig017418, whole genome shotgun sequence.
GGGGAUAUAACUUAGUGGUAGAGUAUGUGCUCAGCAUGCAUAAGGCUCUGGGUUCAAUUUCCAGUAUUGCCC